rnacentral:rRNA from 1 species
UUCCAGACUCCUACGGGAGGCAGCAGUGGGGGAUAUUGCACAAUGGGGGGAACCCUGAUGCAGCGACGCCGCGUGGGUGAAGGAGCGUUUCGGCGCGUAAAGCCCUAUCGGCAGGGAAGAAGGAGGACGGUACCUGACUAAGAAGCCCCGGCUAACUACGUGCCAGCAGCCGCGGGAAUACGUAGGGGGCAAGCGUUAUCCGGAUUUACUGGGUGUAAAGGGGGCGCAGACGGCAAUGCAAGCCAGGAGUGAAAGCCCGGGGCCCAACCCCGGGACUGCUCUUGGAACUGCAUGGCUGGAGUACAGGAGGGGCAGGCGGAAUUCCUAGUGUAGCGGUGAAAUGCGUAGAUAUUAGGAGGAACACCGGUGGCGAAGGCGGCCUGCUGGACUGUGACUGACGUUGAGGCCCGAAGGCGUGGGGAGCAAACAGGAUUAGAUACCCCAGUA